GACGAACGCUGGCGGCGUGCUUAACACAUGCAAGUCGAACGGUAAGGCCCUUCGGGGUACACGAGUGGCGAACGGGUGAGUAACACGUGGGUGAUCUGCCCUGCACUUCGGGAUAAGCCUGGGAAACUGGGUCUAAUACCGGAUAGGACCACUGUCGGCAUGGGUGGUGGUGGAAAGCUUUUGCGGUGUGGGAUGGGCCCGCGGCCUAUCAGCUUGUUGGUGGGGUGAUGGCCUACCAAGGCGACGACGGGUAGCCGGCCUGGGAGGGUGACCGGCCACACUGGGACUGAGAUACUGACCAGACUCCCAUGGGAGGCAGCAGUGGGGAAUAUUGCACAGUGGGCGCGAGCCUGAUGCAGCGACGCCGCGUGAGGGAUGACGGCCUUCGGGUUGUAAACCUCUUUCAGCACCGACGAAGCGCAAGUGACGGUAGGUGCAGAAGAAGGACCGGCCAACUACGUGCCAGCCGCCGCCGUAA
rnacentral:rRNA from 1 species